GGAGCUCUGUGGUAGAGCAUCAGCUUUGCAUGCAGAAGAAUCAGGGUUCAAUUCCCAGCAUCUCCA